CACCUGCUGCCAAUUAGCCAACCCUCUUCGUCAAGCUGUUGUUUGAAAAAAAUAACUGCGGCUCGCAACAUCAAAGAUGUUCCCCAAAUGAGAAAACGAUAUUACACACACACACUCCAUGGUUAGGAACGUCAUUUAUCUUCAUCUAUGGCAGACCAUCCUUGAGCGGCUCCGGCAGGAGCAAGUAAUUGAAAAACAGCUUUGGAGCUUCGAAUCCAUGUUAUUUAGCGGCGAUGAUAAUUGAUGACUCUCAGCUUGUGGAGUCCUGGGAGUCGUUUGUAUUCAUUAGUGUAAAUUCUAAUUAGGGUUUGUGAUUAAAAUGUGACUGUAACAGGCAGCGGGUUGCCGGGUGCGGAGACAGGCGCUGAUGAGACCUCUGGUUCGGGUCAUUGCCUCAGAGAUUUGCCCUUAACCAGUAGUGUCAUGGAUGAGGAGGACGACAGUCCUCACUGCCGGCUAGCGCCAUCAAUCUGUGUCUACUUCCAGUUGAGACAUCCGCUCUGAUGGACACUGCAUUUGCUUAAAGGAGAGAUAGGGAGAGUGCUCCGGGGAUGAUGACAAUCGUUGACCCUGUUUUUCUGUAAGACAAAGUGCACAGUUGGCUGCCAGACUUAUCCCCUGGUUAUGAAUGGACGACCUACCAGAAGGAGCUAAGCUUGUCAGUCUCCCUCGACUCCUAUGAAAAGGACAGCCCAUCCUGAGACCUCUGAUAGUGACCCGAGUUACUGUCCUGAUGACACAGACGGCUUCAUCAACAACGACAGGCAAUGUGUGUUAUGUGAAAAGUUGUAUUAAAAAAUACUCGACUUGAUAAACUAACAGGCUAAUUCCGCAGCCAAGCAGAUACAACUAGAGUCAUUUUUAGAACAAAAUGCAAUUUACCACUUGGCUGUCUGUUAUAUCACCCUGUCACAUGCCGUCCCAGUCAACACCACCACAUAAGAUUGCCUGCUGCAGUUGUUUAAGAGAUGUCCAGUUUGCAGCCGAACAUGCAGCAUAUAUACUGAACAAAAAUAUAAAUGCAACAAUUUCAACAAUUUUACUCAGUUACCGUUCAUAUAUGGAAAUCAGUCAAGUGAAAUAAAUUAAUUAGGCCCUAAUCUAUGGAUUUCACAUGACUGGGCAGGGGCGCAGUCAUGUAAGGGCAUAGGCCCACCCACUUGGGAGCCAGGCCCACCCACAGGGAAGCCAGGCCCAGCCAAUCAGAAUGAGUUUCCCCCACAAAAGGGCUUUAUUACAGACAGAAACAGUCUGCAGUUUCAUCAGGUGGCCGGUCUCAGAUGAUCCCACGGGGGAAAAAGUCGGAUGUGGAGGUCCUGGGCUGGCGUGGUUACACGUGGUUACACGUGGUCUGUAGUUGUGAGGCCAUUUGGACGUACUACCAAAUUCUGUAAAAUAACAUUGGAGGUGGCUUAUGGUAGAAAAAUUAACAUGAAAUUCUCUGACAACAGCUCUGGUGGACAAUCCUGCUGUCAGCAUGCCAAUUGCAUGCACCCUCAAAACUUCAGACAUCUGUGGUGUUGUUUUGUGUGACAAAACUGCACAUUUUAGAGUGGCCAUUUUUUAAACAUGGGCCCAACACUUCACAUGUUGCGUUUAUAUUUUUGUUCAGUAUAGAAGACCUAGCAAGGGGGCUCUCAUUAGCAUCAUGCAGACAUGCACUCGCUGUCAGCAUUCCAAUUAAUGGAACAGUCAGACAUGUGUUGGCAAUUAAUCUUGUGUGUGUGACCGACCAGUAUCUUUUAUGAGGGGCCAGAAACUGAUCUAUGCUGCUAUGUCCAUCAAUGGGGUUCUGGCAAAGACCUCACCUCCAGCCUCACCUCUUGCCUGCUCUUCAACGGUCGUCAAUGGGGAGAACAGAAUUAGGUUUAGACUGACUUCACCAAAGUAUAUGUUUGUGUGUCAGAUUUCACCUGUUCCGGGAUGCUGGCCUUCGAGGCAGAGUUUCUCUGUCCAGUGUCUGUGUUCUUUUACCCAUCUUAAUAUUUUAUUUUCAUUGCAACUCUUCUCGGGAGAGUUGCGAAGAAAAAGAUAUGGCUUAAAGUGACAAGUGAUCCAUUUAUUAAAGUGGCCAAUGAUUUCAAGUCUGUAUGUAGGCAGCAGCCUCUCUGUGUUAGUGAUGGCUGUUUAACAGUCUGAUGGCCUUGAGAUAGAAGCUGUUUUUCAGUCUCUCGGUCCCAGCUUUGAUGCACCUGUACUGACCUCACCUUCUGGAUGGUAGCGGGGUGAACAUGCAGUGCCUCGGGUGGUUGUUGUCCUUGAGGAUCUUUUUGACCUUACUGUGACAUCGGGUGCUGUAGGUGUCCUGGAGGGCAGGUAGUUUACCCCCAGUGAUGCAUUGUGCAGACCGCACCACCCUCUGGAGAGCCUUUACGGUUGUGGACGGUGCAGUUGCCAUACCAGGCGGUGAUACAACCCGGCAGGAAGCUCUCAAUUGUGCAUCUGUAAAAGUUUAUGAGGGUUUUAGGUGACAAGACACAUUUCUUUAGCCUCCUGAGGUUGAAGAGGCUCUGUUGCACCUUCUUCACCGCACUGUCUGUGUGGGUGGACUAUUUCAGUUUGUCCGUGAUGUGUACACCGAGGAACUUAAAACUUUCCACCUUCUCCACUGCUGACUUGUCGAUGUGGAAUGGGGGGUGCUCCAUCUGCUGUUUCCUGAAGUCCACAAUCAUCUCCUUUGUUUUGUUGACAUUGAGUGAGAGGUUGUUUUCCUGACACCACACUCCAAGUGCCCUCACCACCUCCCUGUAGGCUGUCUCGUCGUUGUUGGUAAUCAAGCCUACUACUGUUGUGUCGUCUGCAAACUUGAUGAUUGAGUUGGAGGUGUGCAUGGCCACGCAGUCAUGGGUGAACAGGGAGUACCGGAGGGGGCUGAGCACGCACCCUUGUAGGGCCCCAUUGUUGAGGAUCAGUGAAGUAGACAUGUUGUUUCCUACCUUCACCACCUGGGGGCGGCCCAUCAGGAAGUCCAGGACCCAAUUGCACAGGGCGGGGUUGAGACCCAGGGCCUCAAGCUUAAUGAUGUGCUUGGAGGGUACUAUGGUGUUGAAUGCUGAGCUAUAGUCAAUGAACAGCAUUCUUACAUCGGUAUUUGUCUUGUCCAGAUGGGAUAGAGCUGUGUGCAGUGUGACGGCGAUUGCAUCAUCUGUGGACCUAUUGGGACGAUAAUCAAAUUGAAGUAGGUCUAGGGUGACAGGUAAGGUAGAGGUGAUAUGAUCCUUGACUAGUCUCUCAAAGCACUUCAUGAUGACAGAAGUGAGUGCUACAGGGCAAUAGUCAUUUAGUUCAGUUACCUUUGCCUUCUUAAGUACAAGAACAAUGGUGGCCAUCUUGAAGCAUUUGGGGACAGCAGACUGGGUUAGGGAAAGAUUGAAUAUGGCCGUAAACACACCAGCUAGCUGGUCUGCGCAUACUCUGAGUGACUGUGUGUAUGUGUUCACAGAUGCAGAGAGACCUGGGGCCUCAUUCUCAACCGUGUAUAUCACAAAUCUGUGUGUAAACCAUACAGGGGAUCAUUUCCACACGUAGUGUGAGAUUUAUCAAUAUGAAUGUUUGCUUGAGUGUGGUUAAAUUUACUCACAGCCAUGACCAUGCGUAAGCACAGUGCCAAGUGGUUUAGUAAGGGAACUUCUUGUCAAGUGUAGAAUGGGGAAGAUGUAUGUUGAAA
rnacentral:lncRNA from 1 species